UACAGAGGGGGCAAGCGUUGUUCGGAAUUACUGGGCGUAAAGGGCGCGUAGGCGGCCUUCUAAGUCGAACGUGAAAUCCCCGGGCUCAACCCGGGAACUGCGUCCGAUACUGGAAGGCUUGAAUCCGGAAGAGGGAUGCGGAAUUCCAGGUGUAGCGGUGAAAUGCGUAGAUAUCUGGAGGAACACCGGUGGCGAAGGCGGCAUCCUGGACCGGUAUUGACGCUGAGGCGCGAAAGCCAGGGGAGCAAAGC
rnacentral:rRNA from 1 species